GGGGGGGGCAAGCGUUGUUCGGAAUUACUGGGCGUAAAGGGCUCGUAGGUGGCCAACUAAGUCAGACGUGAAAUCCCCAGGCUCAACUUGGGAACUGCGUCUGAUACUGGAUGGCUUGAAUUCGGGAGAGGGAUGCAGAAUUCCAGGUGUAGCGGUGAAAUGCGUAGAUAUCUGGAGGAAUACCGGUGGCGAAGGCGGCAUCCUGGACCGAGAUUGACACUAAAAAGCGAAAGCCAGGGGAGCAAACGGGAUUAGAUACCCCGGUAGUCCUGGCCCUAAACGAUGAAUGCUUGGUGUGACGGGUAUCGAUCCCUGUCGUGCCGAAGCUAACGCAUUAAGCAUUCCGCCUGGGGAGUACGGUCGCAAGGCUGAA
rnacentral:rRNA from 1 species